AUUAUAAACCGGUGCCCUAAAAUACAAAUGGCAUCGGUUAACCGGUGCCCCUUGAUUUUUUUUUUUAUUCUAAUACAAAGAGCAUUGGUUAACCGGUGCUUAUGUUUACUUUUAUUUUCCUAUAAGGCGUCCUCUCUCUCCUCACCCCACUCUUGCAUCCUCUCUCUCUACUCAAACCCUCCUUUCUCUCUCUUCAAUCUCUUGCCUCCUCGUGCUCUUUGUCAUUCUUUACUCCACCGCCACCCCAAUCACCGCCACCCCACUAUCUCUUUCAUUCUUCUCUCUACCUCUUUCAUUUCCAGAUCUUUCUUUCUCUAUCUUCCUUCGUAGUAGUGGGGAAUUGAGGGUGACGGCGGUGGUGAAUGUUGUCGCGACCAUCGUAAUUGGCGGUGGUUGUGUCUUCCCUUUGCAGCUGUAGUGGAUUUCUUCACGAAGAUUGAGAAAAACAGAACUUGUUGAACAAAUCAUAAAAAGAAGAAAAUAUGACUUCACAUUUUUGGCAGCGCGGUAGUGACAGUGAUAGUGAUAGUGACUCCGAGGAUGAGAUAAAUAGUGGUUUUGAUGGUGUUAAGGUUAUAAAAAAUCCAAGCAUAUAUCUAGAGCCCACUCUUAGAGAUGACACAAAGUCAACUCCUUGCGACAAUGAUGAGGCAGAUGAUGAAAAGCGAGUUCUCAUUCCUGCUAAGAAUAAGCGUUUCUAGGAGAUGUCUGCUACUGUUGAGCAAAUAAACACUCCUCCUCGAUUUGCCUGUUUCUCUCUCCUCUUAUCUUACAUUUCUAUCGAUCGACAUAUUUUUGUUUGAUAAUUUAGGGUUUUAGUUACAUAUAGAUCUUGAAUUUUGUGAGUUUGAUUGUUUAUUUCGAUUUAUUAAUUGCAUUUUUGGGUGAUUUUGGAAUUAUAUGAUUUCAGAAUUAGGUUUUGGGCUGAAUAAUGAUAUGUUUCUGUAUAAUUAAAAUUUCAAUUUGAUGAGUUAAUUAGCCUCCCUAAUGUUUACUUUGCUGAUUUUUUGCAUUUUAUAGUUCAACUUCUUCCCAAUUUUAAUUAGUUUUGGUUGUGUUAGCUUUAAUAGCAUAUUCAUAACUAAUUUCUUCUUUGGUUCCUCUUCUAUGGAUGAAAUUGGCUGUUGUAUUGUGAAUGAAAUAAUUAUGGCUAUAGUUUGAGAAUUAGUAGAACGAUUGGUAUCAUGUCUUCAGUUUGCUUCUACACUUGGAAUCAUGUUUCUUGAUGAUUCGAUGUGAUGUCUUAUAUGUGUUAUUAAGGCUUUAACAACUGCUGUGUGGCUAAUUAUGCAUUUACAUUGAAAUAACAAAAUUCAGGCUGCAUUGAGGAUGCUCUAUGGCCUACAAUGGACGCUGCAUUUCUGUUCUGUGCUACUGCUGUUUAGCAAUUGUGAUGCUGCUGUUCUGCUACUAGGCUGCUGCUGCUCCGCUAGUGAUUGUAAGAAGUUGUUGCUGCUCUUGUUAUAGUGAAUAUAUCCAAUGUUUUUUUUUCUAUUUUUUUUCAAGUGUAAAAUUAAAGGUUGUCAAUGAAAUUGUCAGUUUUAAGUA